UACGGAGGGUGCAAGCGUUAUCCGGAUUUACUGGGUUUAAAGGGUGUGUAGGCGGACUUUUAAGUCCGUGGUGAAAUCUCCGGGCUCAACCCGGAAACUGCCAUGGAUACUAUUGGUCUUGAAUAUUGUUGAGGUGGGCGGAACGGGUCAUGUAGCGGUGAAAUGCGUAGAUAUCUGGAGGAACACCGGUGGCGAAGGCGGCAUCCUGGACCGAUAUUGACGCUGAUGCGCGAAAGCCAGGGGAGCAAACGGG
rnacentral:rRNA from 1 species